ensembl:lncRNA
GGGAGGAGUAUGUAUAAUAAGAAUGAAAUUGUCACUACAGAUUUAUCCUUUUCAAGCACAAUGAAUUAAAUAAGUUUCUUCAAGUUUCUCAUGUAAUCAAAGACAGGUUUUUUUUUAGUUUUGUUUUCUUAUAAAAAAUAAAUGAAAAAAAAAUUACAAUGCUGAACUUGGAUAACAAUGAAUCUUCAUCUUUAAAACUUUUAUUCCUUGUAUGGAGCCUACAAACAAGAACGUCUAUAAACAUAACUGCCAGGAUAAAGCUAAAGCAAGAAUAUAUCAUCAGGACUGCUUUUCAGCUGCACAUGAGCAACAGAGACAACAGCUGAGAGGCAUUUAACAGCUACCUUGUAAAGUUCACAGAGCUGCACCUGUGUGCUCUGAAGUUCUUCGCGCGGUCUCCACCAGGUAAAUACUUGUAAGUUUGAAUUCUAAGAUAGUAUCCUUGAACUGUGUUUACUUUCACUGAAAUAAAUGUAAAUAGUGAUACUUUUAGCAUGUGAAUUGGUGUCUGCCAAACUGGGUCCAUAACUUCAUAAGACUUUAAAACAGCAUAAAAAAACUGACCAGUUUUAAAACUAACAUAUUAAAAGAAGGAAAGAAGAUGAGGUGUUAAUAUUUAAUUAACAUUGGAUAAAUCCAUUGGAUAGUCACAGUUAGAUGUUCAGCUCUGCAUUUUCCCUGCAUUGGGUGUGACUUAGCAGCAGCACUGUUUUUUGGUCACCAAAAAGUAUAUUUCGACCCAACACUGAUAUUGAAUUACAAACUAAAAAUCUAUUUAAAC